GGAGGCUGAGAGAGGGAGAGGGAGAGGGAGAAAGAGCGAGGGGGAGGGGUAGGGGUCUCAGCGCUGUUGCUGCAGAUGGAUUUCACAAGUGGGAGAGUGAGGAUGGUCAGAGAAAACCAUAUGGGUCGUCAGGAUUUCAGGAGAGGGGUAGGGGUCAUCAACAGAGGCAACUGAUAAGUUCCUUUUUUUAAUGGGAUUCUUUACUGUUAGCUUAGAUUUUUGAAUUUUUUAGUACGUUAGGUCAGGUUUUGGGGGAUUCAUCUCUCUGUUUACUACCUUAUUUGUUUCAUUUUCUCUCAUUUUGGGGAUUCAUCUUUCUGUUCUGUCUGUUUGUUCUUUGUUUUAAGCCCUUCCGCUCCUUCCUCUUUCGAGGAGGAACUUCGCUUCAUUCUCCUUGAAGAAACCAAGUUUGCGGUUACGUAUAUGAUAACCUAGAAGCAUCAGCUUCUGAGGGUGUCAUUCAUUGCAUGUGGUGGGAAGUUCAGAGUAGAUCAACAAAAAUUACACACUUUGUGAUUUUGAUUACAGCUUUCAAGGAAACAUCAAUUAAAUAACCGCUCUAGAGGUAGGUAAUUGUUGUUGUCAAAAGCAUAAUGUUGGCAUAGAAGGUAAAUCAGUUGAGUCUUGUUUUCUUAUCUGAGGAUAGCCAAGAUGAAGCCGGAUUUCAAAUCUGCCCAAGGAUGUCAGCACAAAUCUUUCCUGCUUGAUCUCAUGUAAAUCUGGACAAUCUAAGAAGUCACAGUCAUCUAAGAACAUUGAUCGUGAUGGUAAUGGUGAUGAGGAUUGGUCACCAAUUUCUUAGUUGCUGUCGAGAAUAGCUACUUUCAGAAGCAAAUUGAUAGACAAAUGGCAGAGGAAGACGGAGGUGACCACAGGCGCUGCUGAUAUUAAAAGCGAGCCGCAUGCUUUUAAUCAGAAUAUUAGUGAGCACGUUGCUUCUUGUAUAAAAGACCCAAGCAGAAUGGUUGGGCAGAUGCAGAUGUGGAAAUUAGCAGUUGCUGUAUUUGGCACUGCUCCUGUGGGGGAGAACACUGCAAAAGGAAAGGUGACACAAUCUGAUGCUGGUGCACAAGCUGAUGGUGACCCCGAAGUUUUGGAUGACUCUGAGUUAUACCAGACAUUACUGAAAUAAUUUUUUGAGACAAUUGACCCAUCAUCUUCUGAAUAGCUACUUUCAGAAACAAAUUGAUAGACAAAUGGCAGAGGAAGACGGAGGUGACCACAGGCACUGCUGAUAUUAAAAGCGAGCCGCAUGCUUUUAAUCAGAAUAUUAGUGAACAAGUUGCUUAUUAUAUAAAAGACCCAACCAGAAUGGUUGGGCAGAUGCAGAUGUGGAAAUUAGCAGUUGCUGUAUUUGGCACUGUUCCUGUGGGAGAGAACACUGCAAAGGGAAAGGUACUGAUUGCAUAUAAUUGUGGUUAACUAUAAUUCUAUACUAAUCUGAGGACCCAUUUAUAAAUUCAUUGGAAUUAAAUGUCCCAUGGAAUUUACAAUUUUCCCAUGUGCUAUUUUAACUCCCAAAUGAGGUACAAGUUCAUUGUUGGGAUGGAUGCUGUUUAUAAUUAAUUUGAUACGGCGUUUGAGCAAAUUUUGGGUUGUUUGUGGUGUUUGCCUCAAUUUUCUUUUUGGAUGGCCCCGAUGUGCAACCAGUGUGCGAGGGCUGUGAGUGUUUCAGUACUCUUCAUGCGCCAUUAACUUUAAUGAUUUUCAAACAAUUUGGACUCUUCUGUAUCUACGUCAUGAGGGAAGUUUCAUUCAAACAAUCCGUAUCUGCGUCUAUUGAAGUCAAUGACACUGCAUUGUCUCAGCAGCUUGUAGUGGGCUUGGAACCUCAUCAAUCCUGAACUUCUAUUGUUUUUUUAUUCUAAUUUUGCACUAUUUGAUUAUCUGCCUCAGUGACAGCUGUUCCUCCUAAUGCUUCCUGACCCUAAUAACGCUGCAACUGUGGAGUGGAAGCCUCAAUUUUGCACUAUUUGAUUAUCUGUCUUUAAGAGGCAUGAUUUUGUUGUAAAUGACAAUUAAACUCUGUAACUUUGACAUUUAUAAGCAAAUAGGAUUUUUUUGCU